rnacentral:tRNA from 1 species
GGAAGCGUAGCUCAGUUGGUAGAGCAACGGACUUUUAAUCCGUUGGUCCUGGGUUCGAAUCCCAGCGCUUCCA